GACCCAUGGACGACCUCUCAUCUUCAGAUGGAAGACAGAAUCCAGACUUGCAUUUUUAUGACUAGGAACUCCGCAAGGAGCAUAGCUUACGUAAAGCAGCAUCCUUAGUAGAGCAGGCACAGAAGAAACUCAACGCUGUCAAUCUACUGCAGGUUUUACCUUUUACCUGCCCGUGGCUUAUGACAUCACCAGCAACAAACAGACCACAUCUUCCACUGGAAUGCUCAGCUUCGGAACAGAUGGCACACACCCUCCCCUGGAGCGCUGCACAGGCAGAUCACUGGACCUAUGAAGAAGCCUGUGAGCAGACUAGAAACGUGCAAGCAGGCAGCUCUACUUUGUAUCAACUCCAGGAACUGAAGCUGAAUUUUAUGGAGGAUAAAGCCAGAAAGAAUUCUUGUAGCAUCUAGUUGGAUCAUUAACAUGCCACAGGCUCUCAAGCCCUACCCAGACACUGCUGCAUUGACCUCAAGGACUGUAAUUCAACUAAAGCGUUUCAACCCUCAGAAGCCAGACACGUCAAGUGGAAGAGAGAUAGACGUCAGCAACACACAAGGCCUCCAGAAAGGUGACCAGUCAAUACCAUCUGUCUAACUACAGCUGCUAUCAGCUGUUCAUUGUGUUUUUUAUCAGCAGCGAUGACUGGAAAAAGCUCCUUUACUCACCAUCUCCAGAUGCUGUAAGUUUGGUCUUUUUUUUUUCCUUCCACUACACCGUAUGCAUUAGUGCCCUUCAGGUUUACUGGAAUUCCAUUAUUUAAUCAAUUUUUGAGGCACUACAUUGAACUUUCAAACAAGUUGAAAUGUAAAUAACAGGCCUGGAAACAGUACGAUCCUCAUGGUUUUACUCCUUCACAACCUUACAAUGGCUUUGAAGUGCGCUUAUUUCUAUUACUGCAAAUUAUUCCAGCAAAUUUGGUGCAAAUAAAGAACAUGAGUAUAUCAGAAGGAUUGAAAAUAGAGAGUAAUAGGACUUAGCAAUAGCAAAACACCUCCAACGCCCAGAGCCUGUUUUCUUUAACUGGACAAGCAGCAUAGAAAUCCUUACACAUUAAACAUGAAAAAGCCUCUAGGAGAGCAUAAGCCACUCUCAGUGUUCACACACAGAAAUAACUAAUUUCACUGUUUUCUGUUUUGGAACUAAGGGAAACAAAUUUCAGGUGGCUAUUGGUAGGCAAACACAGAGAAUAUCAACUUGAAAUUUUAAACCAGAUAACAUUUUUUGUUUAAGAAGAGCUUAAAAAUUGGCUCAAAAAGCCAACUCCUCCUUUAGGUCUCAUCAACUCCUAAAUAUCUUUUCUGUGAGAGAACCUAGCAGAAGCUGAUUUAGAAGUGCCUCCUCUAUGAAAUUCUGAUUACGUUUUUAGCAAACAAACCAACAAGAAGAUCUCAGUCUGAAGUGGAAAUUUCAGGCUGAAAUUUCCAAUGCAUUUCCAAUGCAUGGAAAAUUCCAGCCAAGAAGGUUAAAGUCUUCUCAAAAUCCUAAGCAAAAGAAAGCAUUGAGUUAUGACAGAAAGUGUUAAGCAACUCUAAUGAGAGGUAUUGCUACUGUGCUGCUUAUAAUAUAGAUGGUAUUUUAAAAUGUUCUAAGAAUAUUUGAGAAAGACAUUAGUCAUACAGAGUAAGGAGGCUGCAGGAUGAAUUACUUAAGAAUGAAGGGUGAUAUAACAAGGAAUGUUGGUCUAAUAUUAGAAUAGAACAGAUUUUAAUUAGAAGUCAAGAAAACAUACACAGCAAUGAGUCAACUGGACAGAGUACAUCAACCAUGGAAGUGGCUGAGGCAUCAGAAAAAGGUAUUUUGUACCAGACUCCAUACAGUAAAAGAGCAUAAAAGGCAGGAGGUAUUUCUACAGCUUGUGUGAAAGAAAGAUGCAUACUACAUUGGCAGUUCUUUUAAGAUACUAAUGUGCUUCUUAAGACCUUGAUCUUGCCAUGUUCUGAGCACAGGAGCCCUGAUUCCAAAAGGCUCUUCAAAUCCUCAACAGUGAACAUCAGCAUUAUCCCAGCAGACAUUAUCAGAACUCUUUCUUUUUUCACAAGCAAA